CAUGGAAACCAAUGGAAUCACCAACAACAUUGUACUGAUAACUAUCCCUCAGUCUUGCAACAUUGGGAACUAGACUUGCGUAAAAAUGCAUUUCAGAUGGGUUGUACAAAUUAAAUUCCUUUUAAUCUAUGCCCGAACAAAUCAUUCCAUUCAGGAUUAACCUGUGGAAUCUUAUUCAAUCCAGAUCAAUCUAUGUUCGAGCAUAG